rnacentral:rRNA from 1 species
UACGUAGGGAGCGAGCGUUAUCCGGAAUUAUUGGGUGUAAAGGGUGCGUAGACGGGAAAGCAAGUUAGUUGUGAAAUCCCUCGGCUUAACUGAGGAACUGCAACUAAAACUACUUUUCUUGAGUGCAGGAGAGGUAAGUGGAAUUCCUAGUGUAGCGGUGAAAUGCGUGGAUAUUAGGAGGAACACCAGUGGCGAAGGCGACUUUCUGGACGAUAACUGACGUUGAGGCACGAAAGUGUGGGGAGCAAACA